rnacentral:tRNA from 1 species
GCCAGCGUGGCGGAAUUGGCAGACGCGACGGAUUCAAAAUCCGUUGGGCCGGAAGGCUCGUGCCGGUUCGACUCCGGCCGCUGGCACCA